CAACCCAUGCCGAAACGCCAUCUUUAACCUUAGGCGAAGCUCUAGCACCCUGCCUUCUCUCUCUCCCUUCCUGUUUCGCUCUUGUGUUUUGCUCUGAGCCGCCGCCACCACCGGUCCCUCUUCGUCGUGUUCCUACCACAAGCCGGCCCCGUUCGUUAGGAGCAGGUGCGGGAGGGGCCGCCGGCGGUGGAGCAGCCGACGGCGCCGCCGGACGAGGCUGGAGGCCCGCCGCAUGGUGCUCACGAAGUUGGCCACCAUGCGGCUGUUCAAGCGGUUCCCGGUCACCUUGUUCCUGCUGACGCGGCGGCUGACCGUGUUCAUGGCGCGGACGGAGCUCCUUGUAGAGCUCCUGUUCGUAGAGUCCGUUUAGGAUGACCUCGGCCUUUGCAGAGGGAGAAUACGGGUCGAACUAGGCCUAAGAAGUAGUUCUGUUCCACGGUGGGGAAGUUUUACUGUCAGAACCUGAUUGUUGUACCAGCUCAAGAAACGGACUAGUUUUAAGCCUCUGGCAACUAUCUCACUUGGUGUUUCAGACAUAAACCUAUGUACAAUACAGGGACCUAGGACAGUUAAAGUCGAGUACUCUAAUUGAACAUUUUAAACGAACCUAGACUGACAUGAGUUGGUCCGUUAUCAAACAUUUAUGACUCGUCAAUACCUAAUACUUUAAUCAACUUAUCAUAGUCGACAGGUCCAAGAC
rnacentral:rRNA from 1 species